GAUGAACGCUGGCGGCGUGCUUAACACAUGCAAGUCGAGCGGGCAAUUUAUCUAGCACUGAUUACUUCAAAUGGAAAUCAUAAGUGUAAUCAUGAAUUUCUACCUUUAAUAAAGAAAAAAGAAAUUCAUGUACGCAAAUAGUGAUAACACAUGAAAGUGGAGUGAUGAGUGCUGGAUAAAUUGCUAGCGGCGGACGGGUGCGUAACACGUGGGUAACCUGCCCCUAUCACUGGGAUAACACACUGAAAAGUGUGCUAAUACCAGAUAAUAUAAGCUUUUGGCAUCAUUAGCUUAUCAAAGAAUUUCGGAUAGGGAUGGGCCCGCGUCUGAUUAGCUAGUUGGUGAGGUAACGGCUCACCAAGGCGACGAUCCGUAACUGGUCUGAGAGGAUGAUCAGUCACACUGGAACUGAGACACGGUCCAGACUCCUACGGGAGGCAGCAGUGGGGAAUAUUGGAC
rnacentral:rRNA from 1 species